AAUCCUGGAUGGAACGAC
rnacentral:misc_RNA from 1 species